rnacentral:rRNA from 1 species
GGUGAACGCUGGCGGCGUGCUUAAGACAUGCAAGUCGAACGGCAGUCUUCGGACUGUAGUGGCGCACGGGUGAGUAACGCGUAACUGACCUACCCCAAAGUCGCGGAUAACGAUUCGAAAGAAUCGCUAAUACGUGAUGUGCUGUCAGGUUGUGUUCUGCCAGUAAAGAUUAAUUGCUUUGGGAUGGGGUUGCGUUCCAUCAGCUAGUUGGUGGGGUAAAGGCCCACCAAGGCGACGACGGAUAGCCGGCCUGAGAGGGUGGCCGGCCACAGGGGCACUGAGACACGGGUCCCACUCCUACGGGAGGCAGCAGUUAGGAAUCUUCCACAAUGGGCGAAAGCCUGAUGGAGCGACGCCGCGUGAGGGAUGAAGGUCUUCGGAUCGUAAACCUCUGAAUCAGGGACGAAAGACACUUCGGUGGGAUGACGGUACCUGAGUAAUAGCACCGGCUAACUCCGUGCCAGCCGCCGCCGUAAUAC